rnacentral:ncRNA from 2 species
GAUUUUUUGCGGGGGGACGCACGUUUGCGUUGAGAAGGCUAAAAAGCCUGACCCUUUGAACCUGUUGGUUAAGACCAUCGUAGGGAGCAAAUGACUACUUGUC